rnacentral:sRNA from 1 species
UGAAACUGAGAAUAGACAAAGGAUAAGAAAUUAUGUGAAAUUGCCAAUACUUGAAAUUAUAAAGACCUACACAAAAAGAUAACUUAAUUGGUUCACCAUAGAGUGUGUGUGUGUGUGUGUGUGUGUGUGUGUGGUGUGUUCAC